rnacentral:rRNA from 1 species
GACGAACGCUGGCGGCGUGCCUAAUACAUGCAAGUUGAGCGCUGAAGGUUGGUACUUGUACCAACUGGAUGAGCAGCGAACGGGUGAGUAACGCGUGGGGAAUCUGCCUUUGAGCGGGGGACAACAUUUGGAAACGAAUGCUAGUACCGCAUAAAAACUUUAAACACAAGUUUUAAGUUUGAAAGAUGCAAUUGCAUCACUCAAAGAUGAUCCCGCGUUGUAUUAGCUAGUUGGUGAGGUAAAGGCUCACCAAGGCGAUGAUACAUAGCCGACCUGAGAGGGUGAUCGGCCACAUUGGGACUGAGACACGGCCCAAACUCCUACGGGAGGCAGCAGUAGGGAAUCUUCGGCAAUAGACGAAAGUCUGACCGAGCAACGCCGCGUGAGUGAAGAAGGUUUUCGGAUCGUAAAACUCUGUUGGUAGAGAAGAACGUUGGUGAGAGUGGAAAGCUCAUCAAGUGACGGUAACUACCCAGAAAGGGACGGCUAACUACGUG